GACGAACGCUAGCGGCGUGCUUAACACAUGCAAGUCGAACGGUAAGGCCCUUCGGGGUACACGAGUGGCGAACGGGUGAGUAACACGUGGGUGAUCUGCCCUGCACUUCGGGAUAAGCCUGGGAAACUGGGUCUAAUACCGGAUAGGACCACUGCCUGCAUGGGUGGUGGUGGAAAGCUUUUGCGGUGUGGGAUGGGCCCGCGGCCUAUCAGCUUGUUGGUGGGGUGAUGGCCUACCAAGGCGACGACGGGUAGCCGGCCUGAGAGGGUGACCGGCCACACUGGACUGAGAUACGGCCCAGACGCCUACGGGAGGCAGCAGUGGGGAAUAUUGCACAAUGGGCGCAAGCCUGAUGCAGCGACGCCGCGUGAGGGAUGACGGCCUUCGGGUUGUAAACCUCUUUCAGCACCGACGAAGCGCAAGUGACGGUAGGUGCAGAAGAAGGACCGGCCAACUACGUGCCAGCCGCCGCGGUAA
rnacentral:rRNA from 1 species